rnacentral:rRNA from 1 species
GACGAACGCUGGCGGCGUGCCUAAUACAUGCAAGUUGAGCGCUGAAGGUUGGUACUUGUACCGACUGGAUGAGCAGCGAACGGGUGAGUAACGCGUGGGGAAUCUGCCUUUGAGCGGGGGACAACAUUUGGAAACGAAUGCUAAUACCGCAUAAAAACUUUAAACACAAGUUUUAAGUUUGAAAGAUGCAAUUGCAUCACUCAAAGAUGAUCCCGCGUUGUAUUAGCUAGUUGGUGAGGUAAAGGCUCACCAAGGCGAUGAUACAUAGCCGACCUGAGAGGGUGAUCGGCCACAUUGGGACUGAGACACGGCCCAAACUCCUACGGGAGGCAGCAGUAGGGAAUCUUCGGCAAUGGACGAAAGUCUGACCGAGCAACGCCGCGUGAGUGAAGAAGGUUUUUGGAUCGUAAAACUCUGUUGGUAGAGAAGAACGUUGGUGAGAGUGGAAAGCUCAUCAAGUGACGGUAACUACCCAGAAAGGGACGGCUAACUACGUG